GCGCGGUAAUACGAAGGGUGGAAGCGGUAAUCGGAAUUACUGGGAGUAAAGGGUGCGUAGGCGGUUGUUUAAGUCUGUCGUGAAAUCCCCGGGCUCAACCUGGGAAUGGCGAUGGAUACUGGGCAGCUAGAGUGUGUCAGAGGAUGGUGGAAUUUCCGGUGUAGCGGUGAAAUGCGUAGAGAUCGGAAGGAACAUCAGUGGCGAAGGCGGCCAUCUGGGACAACACUGACGCUGAAGCACGAAAGCGUGGGGAGCAAACAGG
rnacentral:rRNA from 1 species